rnacentral:piRNA from 1 species
UCAACGCUACUGAUGGAAAUGUGGUC